GGGCCCCACUCCUCAGUGUGCCCUUAGAGAAAAGCGCUCAAUCACUCCCAUACCCCUGGCCUCCAGCUGUGCUCCGAGCUCACCUAGCCUGUGACCAAGCAUCUCCAUCUCUGGCACACACCUCUGCCUGGAGUCUCCGAACCCUGCAGAUCCCUGGGCUCUUCCAGGAGGGGUCUCCCUGGAUCUUGUGGGGACCCCACUCACAGAGCAGUGGCCUGUACCACAGAUUAUGGUUCAAGGAAGAAAUAUUUAUUGAAA